rnacentral:rRNA from 1 species
UACGGGGGGAGCAAGCGUUGUUCGGAUUUACUGGGCGUAAAGGGCGCGUAGGCGGCGCGACAAGUCACUUGUGAAAUCUCUGGGCUCAACCCAGAACGGUCAAGUGAUACUGUCGUGCUAGAGUGCGGAAGGGGCAACUGGAAUUCUUGGUGUAGCGGUGAAAUGCGUAGAUAUGACAUAGAACACCGAUAGCGAAGGCAGCUUGCUACACAAUCAUUGACACUGAGGCACGAAAGCGUGGGGAUCAAACAGG